GCUCAGAUGGUGAAGUGGCAUCACAAGAGGUUGUGGUCCUCUUAUCCCAAGUUCGAUUCUUGGUCUGAGCA
rfam:Dictyostelium fasciculatum unplaced genomic scaffold Scf_ET5ZYIE01BBABR-5, whole genome shotgun sequence.